AUACAAUUUAGAACUUGACUGAAAUUUUGCUCGGGUAGAGUUUGAUGCAUGGAUUUGCUGCUGAAUUUAGUAUUGGUUAGUCGUAAGAGCAGAGUGAGGGAAUUUGUUUGUGUCUGUUCUCAAUUUGAGAGUUAUAAGAACAUAAUCGGAGGUUUAUGAAUGAACCUUGUGAAGUAUAGGGUAAGUGAAGUUACCGAUGCCUGAUGCUGUUGAUGUUGGGGUUCAAUAAGCGGGGGAGGGGAUUCCUUCUCCCAGUUUUAAGUUUUGGAACUAUUUUGAGGAGAGAAAUAAAGAGCUAUUGACGGCACUAGGAGUUGGUGACUAAAAUGGUAAGGUUCGUGCUUGGAGGGUGGUUGACAAAUUGUCUCAACAAAAUCCCUUGUGAUUUGAAGGAACUAAUGCACAGACUCUUCGGCAACACCCUUGUAGUAUGUUUUAACUGGCAGUACUCAAUUCUAACCAUCACGGGGGUUGGACAUCUAAAAUGGUAUUGCACUUUGAAUUUUAUUAUCUAGUUUAGUGACUAAUAUGUGGUCUUGUGUGGGACUGUUUGCCAUUUUUACUCAAGACUAGCUUUAUGGACUAAGGCAAAUGUUUAAAUGGAAUUAUUGCAAG